UAUGCCUACGGGGCGCAGCAGUGGGGAAUAUUGCACAAUGGGGGAAACCCUGAUGCAGCAACGCCGCGUGAGUGAAGACGGCAUUCGGGUUGUAAAGCUCUGUCUUCAGGGAAGAUAAUGACGGUACCUGAGGAAGAAGCCACGGCUAACUACGUGCCAGCAGCCGCGGUAAUACGUAGGGGGCGAGCGUUAUCCGGAUUUACUGGGCGUAAAGGGAGCGUAGACGGCCUUGUAAGUGUGAUGUGAAAAACUGGGGCUCAAC
rnacentral:rRNA from 1 species